GCCAUUCUUCUAAUUGUUCUUUUAUCGUUCUCAUUCGCUUGUUCGGGAUACCUUUGAUUCUUGAUAUAUUCUAAGAUAUCAUGGAACCAAGGCCGUCCGUCUACUUCUUUCUCAAUGUUACAACAGUGUGCAGGGACCUCGUAUAUGCUCAUUUUGAGGGGCAUUAUUUCUGCUUCUCUACUUGCUUUGAACAUUGAAGCCAAAGUGGCUAGGGCAUCAG
rnacentral:lncRNA from 1 species